rnacentral:rRNA from 1 species
GGCGGCGUGCCUAACACAUGCAAGUCGAACGAGAAAGUGGAGCAAUCCACAAGUAAAGUGGCGCACGGGUGAGUAACACGUGACUAACCUACCCUGGAGUGGGGGAUAACUGAGGGAAACCUUAGCUAAUACCGCAUAAUACCUACGGGUCAAAGGAGCAAUUCGCUUUGGGAGGGGGUCGCGGCCGAUUAGUUAGUUGGCGGGGUAAUGGCCCACCAAGACAGUGAUCGGUAUCCGGCCUGAGAGGGCGCACGGACACACUGGAACUGAAACACGGUCCAGACUCCUACGGGAGGCAGCAGUGGGGAAUUUUGCGCAAUGGGGGAAACCCUGACGCAGCAACGCCGCGUGGAGGAUGAAGUACUUCGGUACGUAAACUCCUUUCGAUCGGGACGAUAAUGACGGUACCGGAAGAAGAAGCCCCGGCUAACUUCGUGCCAGCAGCCGCGGUAAUACGAAGGGGGCAAGC